AGAGACAGCAGUCGCCACGGGAAUACGUAGGGUGCAAGCGUUAAUCGGAAUUACUGGGCGUAAAGCGUGCGCAGGCGGUUAUAUAAGACAGAUGUGAAAUCCCCGGGCUCAACCUGGGAACUGCAUUUGUGACUGUAUAGCUAGAGUACGGCAGAGGGGGAUGGAAUUCCGCGUGUAGCAGUGAAAUGCGUAGAUAUGCGGAGGAACACCGAUGGCGAAGGCAAUCCCCUGGGCCUGUACUGACGCUCAUGCACGAAAGCGUGGGGAGCAAACAGGAUUAGAUACCCCGGUAGUCCCUGUCUCUUAUAA
rnacentral:rRNA from 1 species